ACUAUCUCCCCCAGAUCCCCUCCCUGCUGAACAGGCGCCCCGACCAACAAGUAGGAGUCGUUAAUGCAACAAUCAAGCUGGAGGAUUGAACCCGGGUCUCUGCGGUGGUAGAUACCGGAGACAGAUAUACGCGACAGAACCGUCAGAGCCCGAGAAUGCAGAGAAGCUGGGGGAGUGCCGGAGUGGGCGUCGGCUCCCUCGCGGCUCGCAGCCCGACAGCAGACACAGCCGAAGGCCGAACGCCACGCCCCCCUGGCCCACGCAUCCUCAGACCGGCACGCCCUCGGCGACCCAAAGGUAGGAAACAGCCUAAAAAAAAAGUGCAGACUCGGUGAUCUUCGGCGUCGCUUCAUUAACUUCUCUGGCUGUAAUUGCUCGGAAAACAAGGGAAUGACGCUCACUGGAGUGUCUGUAAACUUUGCGGCGCUUUUAAACCACUUUGGCGGAAGUUCAUGCUGAACGGUUAGAUCGCGGGGACAAAUGAGGUGAUUAACUUCACGCUGCUUUCCUUCCAAACGGAGUCCCUUCUUGGCUACUUUCAGCGGGAAGCAGCAAAUCCACUUUCUUAUUGCAUAUAUUGUUUGACAAGGUAUCACGUUGGCUCAACUAAAAUUUCAAUAAGGGAAAAUUGUUUUUUU